UACAGAGGGGGCAAGCGUUGUUCGGAAUUACUGGGCGUAAAGGGCGCGUAGGCGGUCUGCUAAGUCGAACGUGAAAUCCCUGGGCUCAACCCAGGAACUGCGUCCGAUACUGGUUGGCUUGAAUCCGGGAGAGGGAUGCGGAAUUCCAGGUGUAGCGGUGAAAUGCGUAGAUAUCUGGAGGAACACCGGUGGCGAAGGCAGUCCCCUGGGCCUGUACUGACGCUCAUGCACGAAAGCGUGGGGAGCAAACAGG
rnacentral:rRNA from 1 species